rnacentral:rRNA from 1 species
GGGACACGUGGUAUCCUGUCUGAAUAUGGGGGGACCAUCCUCCAAGGCUAAAUACUCCUGACUGACCGAUAGUGAACCAGUACCGUGAGGGAAAGGCGAAAAGAACCCCGGCGAGGGGAGUGAAAAAGAACCUGAAACCGUGUACGUACAAGCAGUGGGAGCACGCUUAGGCGUGUGACUGCGUACCUUUUGUAUAAUGGGUCAGCGACUUAUAUUCUGUAGCAAGGUUAACCGAAUAGGGGAGCCGAAGGGAAACCGAGUCUUAACUGGGCGUUAAGUUGCAGGGUAUAGACCCGAAACCCGGUGAUCUAGCCAUGGGCAGGUUGAAGGUUGGGUAACACUAACUGGAGGACCGAACCGACUAAUGUUGAAAAAUUAGCGGAUGACUUGUGGCUGGGGGUGAAAGGCCAAUCAAACCGGGAGAUAGCUGGUUCUCCCCGAAAGCUAUUUAGGUAGCGCCUCGUGAAUUCAUCUCCGGGGGUAGAGCACUGUUUCGGCAAGGGGGUCAUCCCGACUUACCAACCCGAUGCAAACUGCGAAUACCGGAGAAUGUUAUCACGGGAGACACACGGCGGGUGCUAACGUCCGUCGUGAAGAGGGAAACAACCCAGACCGCCAGCUAAGGUCCCAAAGUCAUGGUUAAGUGGGAAACGAUGUGGGAAGGCCCAGACAGCCAGGAUGUUGGCUUAGAAGCAGCCAUCAUUUAAAGAAAGCGUAAUAGCUCACUGGUCGAGUCGGCCUGCGCGGAAGAUGUAACGGGGCUAAACCAUGCACCGAAGCUGCGGCAGCGACACUAUGUGUUGUUGGGUAGGGGAGCGUUCUGUAAGCCUGUGAAGGUGUGCUGUGAGGCAUGCUGGAGGUAUCAGAAGUGCGAAUGCUGACAUAAGUAACGAUAAAGCGGGUGAAAAGCCCGCUCGCCGGAAGACCAAGGGUUCCUGUCCAACGUUAAUCGGGGCAGGGUGAGUCGACCCCUAAGGCGAGGCCGAAAGGCGUAGUCGAUGGGAAACAGGUUAAUAUUCCUGUACUUGGUGUUACUGCGAAGGGGGGACGGAGAAGGCUAUGUUGGCCGGGCGACGGUUGUCCCGGUUUAAGCGUGUAGGCUGGUUUUCCAGGCAAAUCCGGAAAAUCAAGGCUGAGGCGUGAUGACGAGGCACUACGGUGCUGAAGCAACAAAUGCCCUGCUUCCAGGAAAAGCCUCUAAGCAUCAGGUAACAUCAAAUCGUACCCCAAACCGACACAGGUGGUCAGGUAGAGAAUACCAAGGCGCUUGAGAGAACUCG